rnacentral:lncRNA from 1 species
GUCCUUAGGGCAAAAUCAAGGCUGGGCACAAAGACAUCACCGUAAGAAUUCUUGUUACCAAGAAUGCUCUUCCUCAUGGCCCCAUAUAGGAGCCAACUCAGUGCUCAACGACAGAGACCUAGAGAAAUCGUAGUUCCUCCAGGAUAGAGAACUGGGCAGCCAUGUAAAAUGACUCAGCAGAAGAUCUUUUAUUGGCAUGGAAUAUUUGCCACUCCGUCCUGUGUGCGGGUAGACGAUGAGCGCACGGUGGGGUUCUGCGUGUCUGUCCAGGCGAGCGCUGAAAGAAGACAGCACGGGACGGUAACCACAAUGGUUUUGGGGAGUCCAGGCAGCUGGCCUCUGGCCUGGGGGUGUCAGCAAGACCCCUGGUGUCACCACGAGUGCAGGUGCUGCUUCCGGACAAAACGAUGGGGGAGAAGAACUGAGCCCACAGCUGUCCCUCCGAGCUUCCUGACUGGAGGGACAGGCUGCUCUUCACAGGCUGCGCUGGGGCCUGUCUUUCCACGGAGCAACAGCAACUUUGAGAACAGACAGGGAGGGCGAAGGAAAAAGCAAGGGGUGUUGAAGUGUGGAGGGAGCAGAAGAGGUCACCUACUCAGAGGACCAGUGGCGGGUGUGGGGGGCAUCCAGACCCUCAGGCAGGAUUUAGCACGGUUUCCAAAUGUCCCAUGCACAUCCCACCUUCCACAGACAGGGGCCACUUGAGCAGGUGAUGAACCCAUGUGAGGGGGAGAGGAGGGGUAGGCUGAGAGACGCCUGUUUUUAUCUAUUUAUUUAGACAUUUGCUUUAAAAAAACCAACACCCAGCACCCCCACCAACAUAGCCUCCCAAGUACAAUCCUAAGUGAAGAAGCUGGCCACAGAGGACACAGGUGCCAUGUGCCCUGUUCAUGGGAAAUGUCCCCAGCUGGGACCGAAGGCAGGUCAGAGAUUGCCAGGGGCUGGGGAGAAACUGAGAGGGAGAAAGAGAUGCUAACGGGGAUAGGGUUUAUUUGGGAGUGAUGGGAAUGCCCUAAAGUUAGAUCAUAGUAAAGUUUCCACAAUCCUGUGAAUUUAUUAAAAGCCAUUGAAUUAUGCAUUUUAAAUGGGUAAGUUUUAUGGAAUGUGAAUUAUUGCUCCAUAAAAUUGCUAAAAAAAAAAAAAAGAGGAAAAAAAAUACAACAACAACAAAAGUUCACUUAUCAGAAACCAGUGUCCUUCCAGGGCCGUGCUGAGGCCGGCACGUGCCAUAUGAAGGAGGGGGGGAGGAAGGAAGAAGCAAGCGCAGCAGAGAACCGAGGGGCAAGGACUUCCUCAUUCAGGUCCACCGCCACUUUACUGCCAGGCCAGGGAGCCUCCUGGACCCCGAGCACUGCACACGUCACCUCAUCGAUGACCAGAGGGGAAACUGAGGCUGUAGGAGACGGAGGCUGCAAAAGCCACUUGACCAGCAGGUGGCAGAGCUGGGACCCUCAGGAGCCUCCAUCUCCAUCCUGAUGGCAUUGAUCUUGAGCCGUGGCUGUGACCCCAGAUGGGUGCUCGGCAGAGGGAAGAACUCUGGGGUCAGGAGAUCAGGAAGCUUACCCAGCCCCGCCAGCCACCAGGAAGCCCACCUAGGUUGGCACGGGCAUCAGAGGGGAGGGUCUGGCGCACAUCACAGCAGUAGGAAAGGUCUAGGCACAGGGC